UGGGGAAUAUUGCACAAUGGAGGGAACUCUGAUGCAGCGACGCCGCGUGAACGAAGAAGGCUUUUGAGUCGUAAAGUUCUUUUAUAUGGGAAGAUAAUGACGGUACCAUAAGAAAAAGCCCCGGCUAACUACGUGCCAGCAGCCGCGGUAAUACGUAGGGGGCUAGCGUUGUCCGGAAUCACUGGGCGUAAAGGGUUCGCAGGCGGAAAUGCAAGUCAGAUGUAAAAGGCAGUAGCUUAACUACUGUAAGCAUUUGAAACUGCAUAUCUUGAGAAGAGUAGAGGUAAGUGGAAUUUUUAGUGUAGCGGUGAAAUGCGUAGAUAUUAAAAAGAAUACCGGUGGCGAAGGCGACUUACUGGGCUCAUUCUGACGCUGAGGAACGAAAGCGUGGGUAGCAAACAGG
rnacentral:rRNA from 1 species